rnacentral:rRNA from 1 species
AGAGUUUGAUCCUGGCUCAGAUUGAACGCUGGCGGCAUGCUUUACACAUGCAAGUCGAACGGCAGCGCGGGGCAACCUGGCGGCGAGUGGCGAACGGGUGAGUAAUAUAUCGGAACGUACCCAAGAGUGGGGGAUAACGUAGCGAAAGUUACGCUAAUACCGCAUACGAUCUAAGGAUGAAAGCAGGGGAUCUUCGGACCUUGUGCUCCUGGAGCGGCCGAUAUCUGAUUAGCUAGUUGGUGAGGUAAAGGCUCACCAAGGCCACGAUCAGUAGCUGGUCUGAGAGGACGACCAGCCACACUGGAACUGAGACACGGUCCAGACUCCUACGGGAGGCAGCAGUGGGGAAUUUUGCGCAAUGGACGAAAGUCUGACGCAGCAACGCCGCGUGGGUGAUGAAGGUCUUCGGAUUGUAAAACCCUGUCGUCGGGGACGAAGGUAGGGGGGUUAAUACCCCUUUUGCUUGACGGUACCCGGAGAGGAAGCCCCGGCUAACUCUGUGCCAGCAGCCGCGGUAAUACAGAGGGGGCAAGCGUUAUUCGGAAUUAUUGGGCGUAAAGGGCGCGUAGGCGGUGAUUCAAGUUGGAUGUGUAAUCCCCGAGCUCAACUUGGGAACUGCAUCCAAGACUGGAUCGCUAGAGUACUGGAGAGGGUGGUGGAAUUCCUCGUGUAGCGGUGAAAUGCGUAGAGAUGAGGAGGAACACCAGUGGCGAAGGCGGCCACCUGGACAGUAACUGACGCUGAGGCGCGAAAGUGUGGGGAGCAAACAGGAUUAGAUACCCUGGUAGUCC